CACUGUCUUGAACCCGCAUGACUGCCGUGUGAACGAGCCCAGGCCAGCCUGCCCAGGAAUGAGGCAGCACACAGAGGGGAGUCAUCCCAGGAGAGGCUAUCCAAGACCAGUCGGCCUCCAGCCAACCCACAGCUUCAGACGCUUGGGUGAGCCCAGUCAGGGUCAGCUGAGGUCGGCCAGAUCCGCGGACCUUCCUGGGUGGUCCACAGACCCCUCGGCCGAAUACACGGCUGUUGUUUUAAGCUUUGGGCCGGUUUGUUCCACAGCAGUCACUUCCUGAUACAUUAUGUGACACCCAAGUAUGGACAUCCGCUCCACUCCUAUCUAAAACUUAUUAAUGACUCCUCAUUGCCCUCUGGAAAAAAGUUCCAUCUCCCUAUUGCAAGUUGGGAAGGCCCUCAUCUUCUAGAUUUUACUUGCCUCUGCAGCCCUUCUAUUUGGAAAUUUCCACUGCAAAUUUCUUCAGAUCCUUGUGUCCCCUGUAGUCCUGCGUGCAUCUGUGCUGUCACUUUUGCUAUUCUCAUGACCUGGAAUUUUCCUCCUGACUCAGCUCAAGUAUCACCUGUUGCAGGGCACUCUAUGAUCUCCCCAGGUGGGGUUCUGUGCAUGAUUUCUCUGCCAGGUUUUGAGAUGGCCUUGUCCCCCUCAUCUCUGUAAACCCCACCACCUACUGAGGGCCGACCAUGUGCCAGAUACUCGUCUCGACACUGAAGAGAUAGAUAUCGGUGGUUGCUGUCUUCUGUCCCCAAAGUUGCUGGCCCCCUGAAAAUUCAUUUCAACAAAUUGUGAUUACAGAUUGUUUGUAACGAAGAGGGUGUUGGAACUAGUUGAGGACCAUGCCCUUACCGGCUGAAUCAUGUUAUGCCUGUAUGGCCAGGGCCCAGAGACAAUGGCAUACCAGAGUGGCUAAGAACACAAGACUCCCAGGGUGCCUGGGUGGCUCAGUCAGGGUGUCAUUACUGUCAUGUGACUGCAGAUGGCGGAUCAGGGCUUAAUGGCAACUACCGGGGAGCCUGGGGGGCUGUGACGCAAGAAAAGAAGUUUAGCACGGACCUGGGAAUAUGCUCGGGUGGACAGCAGACAAAGAAGCUGAAGCCCAGAGAGAUGAAGAGACCCCUCCCUAGGAACCCCGCUGGGCAGCGGUAGACCCAGAUCCCUGCAGACUCUGAAAGCUGUGCUGUUUCUACGCGCUCCCUCUCUGUUCCCCAUCCCCUGGCUUUCAAAGGACAUAAACAUACGAAAUGA